GAUCAACGCUGGCGGCGUGCCUCAGACAUGCAAGUCGAACGCGAAAGUUUCCUUCGGGAAGCGAGUAGAGUGGCGUCCGGGUGAGUAACACGUAGGUAAUCUACCUUUGGGUGGGGAAUAACAACCGGAAACGGUUGCUAAUACCGCAUAAUGCAGCGGCACCACAUGGUGACAGUUGUUAAAGCGGGGGAGUCGCAAGACCUCGCGCCUAAAGAGGAGCCUGCGGCGGAUUAGCUAGNGGUAAGGUAACGGCUUACCAAGGCAACGAUCCGUAGCCGGCCUGAGAGGGCGGUCGGCCACACUGACACUGAAAUACGGGUCAGACUCCUACGGGAGGGCAGC
rnacentral:rRNA from 1 species